GAUGAACGCUGGCGGCGUGCUUAACACAUGCCAGUCGAACGGUGAACCCGGAGCUUGCUCUGUGGGAUCAGUGGCGAACGGGUGAGUAACACGUGAGUAACCUGCCCCUGACUCUGGGAUAAGCGCUGGAAACGGCGUCUAAUACUGGAUAUGUGACGUGACCGCAUGGUCUGCGUUUGGAAAGAUUUGGGGGUUGGGGAUGGGCUCGGGGCGUAUCAGCUUGUUGGUGGGGGAGUGGCUUACCAAGGGUUUGACGGGUACCCGGCCGGAGAGGGUGACCGGCCACAGUGGGACUGAGAGAGGGCGCAGACGCCUACGGGAGGCAGCAGUGGGGAAUAUGGCACAAUGGGCGGAAGCCUGAUGCAGCAACGCCGCGUGCGGGAUGACGGCCUUCGGGUUGUAAACCGCUUUCGCCUGUGACGAAGCGGGAGUGACGGUAAUGGGUAAAGAAGCAACGGCUAACUACGUG
rnacentral:rRNA from 1 species